GGUGACGCGACCACUUCACGCACGGAGGAAACGACCCGCCACGCGCAUGCGUAUGCGCAGAAUGACGUGGACAUUAACGUAUUUAUGGUAGCAGCGCAAACAGAGUUACACAAAACUAGCUAGCUAGCUGCAGGAACUGUUACAUUAUGAAUAGGCCACUUCACCUUCCCUCAAGCUUCGAUGAGUUUCCUGUCAUUAAAUGCAGUCUAUCAUCCAGCCUCUCGCAUGAGAGGAUGACCCCGUGGGAUCUCAUCUGUUCGCUGGUGAGCAGACCAUAUUAAGCCCGAUUACCCGAGCCGAUCUCUGAACUGAAUGAUGACACUCUUUAUUUCCAUCUAAUAGUAACUUCUCUAUUGCAAACGACGGAUCAUAGCAACGCUAGGUUUUCGUCAAUGUCCCGCAAGACACUGAAAAGGACUGACAUACGUUCAUCAUUCGAAUCAACCAAACAUGUGAAGCAUAUUGCCUUGCCUCGAUGAUG